UGGGGAAUAUUGGACAAUGGGCGAAAGCCUGAUCCAGCCAUGCCGCGUGUGUGAAGAAGGUCUUCGGAUUGUAAAGCACUUUAAGUUGGGAGGAAGGGCAGUAAGCGAAUACCUUGCUGUUUUGACGUUACCGACAGAAUAAGCACCGGCUAACUCUGUGCCAGCAGCCGCGGUAAUACAGAGGGUGCAAGCGUUAAUCGGAAUUACUGGGCGUAAAGCGCGCGUAGGUGGUUCGUUAAGUUGAAUGUGAAAGCCCCGGGCUCAACCUGGGAACUGCAUCCAAAACUGGCGAGCUAGAGUAGGGCAGAGGGUGGUGGAAUUUCCUGUGUAGCGGUGAAAUGCGUAGGUAUAGGAAGGAACACCAGUGGCGAAGGCGACCACCUGGGCUCAUACUGACACUGGGGUGCGAAAGCGUGGGGAGCAAACAGG
rnacentral:rRNA from 1 species